rnacentral:tRNA from 1 species
AUCGCCUAAGUCUCGACCAUCUUACCUAAAUUGUAUUAAGGGGUCAUAAUAUAAUAUUUAAGGUA